UUGGGGGGGUGCCUAAUACAUGCAAGUCGAGCGAACAGAGAAGGAGCUUGCUCCUUUGACGUUAGCGGCGGACGGGUGAGUAACACGUGGGCAACCUACCUUAUAGUUUGGGAUAACUCCGGGAAACCGGGGCUAAUACCGAAUAAUCUAUUUUACUUCAUGGUGAAAUACUGAAAGACGGUUUCGGCUGUCGCUAUAAGAUGGGCCCGCGGCGCAUUAGCUAGUUGGUGAGGUAACGGCUCACCAAGGCGACGAUGCGUAGCCGACCUGAGAGGGUGAUUCGGCCACACUGGGACUGAGACACGGUCCAGCUUCCUACGGGA
rnacentral:rRNA from 1 species